GGUCAAGUGAAGAAGCGCAUACGGUGGAUGCCUUGGCAGUCAGAGGCGAUGAAAGACGUGGUAGCCUGCGAUAAGCUUCGGGGAGUCGGCAAACAGACUUUGAUCCGGAGAUCUCUGAAUGGGGGAACCCACUCAGCAUAAGCUGAGUAUCUUGUACUGAAUACAUAGGUGCAAGAGGCGAACCAGGGGAACUGAAACAUCUAAGUACCCUGAGGAAAAGAAAUCAACCGAGAUUCCCUUAGUAGUGGCGAGCGAACGGGGACUAGCCCUUAAGUGGCUUUGAGAUUAGCGGAACGCUCUGGAAAGUGCGGCCAUAGUGGGUGAUAGCCCUGUACGCGAAAAUCUCUUAGUCAUGAAAUCGAGUAGGACGGAGCACGAGAAACUUUGUCUGAAUAUGGGGGGACCAUCCUCCAAGGCUAAAUACUACUGACUGACCGAUAGUGAACCAGUACCGUGAGGGAAAGGCGAAAAGAACCCCGGAGAGGGGAGUGAAAUAGAACCUGAAACCGUAUGCGUACAAGCAGUGGGAGCCUACUUGUUAGGUGACUGCGUACCUUUUGUAUAAUGGGUCAGCGACUUAUAUUCAGUGGCGAGCUUAACCGAAUAGGGGAGGCGUAGCGAAAGCGAGUCUUAAUAGGGCGUUUAGUCGCUGGGUAUAGACCCGAAACCGGGCGAUCUAUCCAUGGGCAGGUUGAAGGUUAGGUAACACUGACUGGAGGACCGAACCGACUACCGUUGAAAAGUUAGCGGAUGACCUGUGGAUCGGAGUGAAAGGCUAAUCAAGCUCGGAGAUAGCUGGUUCUCCUCGAAAGCUAUUUAGGUAGCGCCUCAUGUAUCACUGUAGGGGGUAGAGCACUGUUUCGGCUAGGGGGUCAUCCCGACUUACCAAACCGAUGCAAACUCCGAAUACCUACAAGUGCCGAGCAUGGGAGACACACGGCGGGUGCUAACGUCCGUCGUGAAAAGGGAAACAACCCAGACCGUCAGCUAAGGUCCCAAAGUUAUGGUUAAGUGGGAAACGAUGUGGGAAGGCUUAGACAGCUAGGAGGUUGGCUUAGAAGCAGCCACCCUUUAAAGAAAGCGUAAUAGCUCACUAGUCGAGUCGGCCUGCGCGGAAGAUGUAACGGGGCUCAAACCAUACACCGAAGCUACGGGUAUCACUUAGGUGAUGCGGUAGAGGAGCGUUCUGUAAGCCUGUGAAGGUGAGUUGAGAAGCUUGCUGGAGGUAUCAGAAGUGCGAAUGCUGACAUGAGUAACGACAAUGGGAGUGAAAAACUCCCACGCCGAAAGACCAAGGUUUCCUGCGCAACGUUAAUCGACGCAGGGUUAGUCGGUCCCUAAGGCGAGGCUGAAAAGCGUAGUCGAUGGAAAACAGGUUAAUAUUCCUGUACUUCUAGUUAUUGCGAUGGAGGGACGGAGAAGGCUAGGCCAGCUUGGCGUUGGUUGUCCAAGUUUAAGGUGGUAGGCUGAGAUCUUAGGUAAAUCCGGGAUCUUAAGGCCGAGAGCUGAUGACGAGUUGCCUUUAGGCGACGAAGUGGUUGAUGCCAUGCUUCCAAGAAAAGCUUCUAAGCUUCAGAUAACUAGGAACCGUACCCCAAACCGACACAGGUGGUUGGGUAGAGAAUACCAAGGCGCUUGAGAGAACUCGGGUGAAGGAACUAGGCAAAAUGGCACCGUAACUUCGGGAGAAGGUGCGCCGGUGAGGGUGAAGGACUUGCUCCGUAAGCCCAUGCCGGUCGAAGAUACCAGGCCGCUGCGACUGUUUAUUAAAAACACAGCACUCUGCAAACACGAAAGUGGACGUAUAGGGUGUGACGCCUGCCCGGUGCCGGAAGGUUAAUUGAUGGGGUUAGCUAACGCGAAGCUCUUGAUCGAAGCCCCGGUAAACGGCGGCCGUAACUAUAACGGUCCUAAGGUAGCGAAAUUCCUUGUCGGGUAAGUUCCGACCUGCACGAAUGGCGUAACGAUGGCGGCGCUGUCUCCACCCGAGACUCAGUGAAAUUGAAAUCGCUGUGAAGAUGCAGUGUAUCCGCGGCUAGACGGAAAGACCCCGUGAACCUUUACUAUAGCUUUGCACUGGACUUUGAAUUUGCUUGUGUAGGAUAGGUGGGAGGCUUUGAAGCGUGGACGCCAGUUCGCGUGGAGCCAUCCUUGAAAUACCACCCUGGCAACUUUGAGGUUCUAACUCAGGUCCGUUAUCCGGAUCGAGGACAGUGUAUGGUGGGUAGUUUGACUGGGGCGGUCUCCUCCUAAAGAGUAACGGAGGAGUACGAAGGUGCGCUCAGACCGGUCGGAAAUCGGUCGUAGAGUAUAAAGGCAAAAGCGCGCUUGACUGCGAGACAGACACGUCGAGCAGGUACGAAAGUAGGUCUUAGUGAUCCGGUGGUUCUGUAUGGAAGGGCCAUCGCUCAACGGAUAAAAGGUACUCCGGGGAUAACAGGCUGAUACCGCCCAAGAGUUCAUAUCGACGGCGGUGUUUGGCACCUCGAUGUCGGCUCAUCACAUCCUGGGGCUGAAGCCGGUCCCAAGGGUAUGGCUGUUCGCCAUUUAAAGUGGUACGCGAGCUGGGUUUAGAACGUCGUGAGACAGUUCGGUCCCUAUCUGCCGUGGACGUUUGAGAUUUGAGAGGGGCUGCUCCUAGUACGAGAGGACCGGAGUGGACGAACCUCUGGUGUUCCGGUUGUCACGCCAGUGGCAUUGCCGGGUAGCUAUGUUCGGAAGAGAUAACCGCUGAAAGCAUCUAAGCGGGAAACUUGCCUCAAGAUGAGAUCUCACUGGAGCCUUGAGCUCCCUGAAGGGCCGUCGAAGACUACGACGUUGAUAGGUUGGGUGUGUAAGCGCUGUGAGGCGUUGAGCUAACCAAUACUAAUUGCCCGUGAGGCUUGACCAU
rnacentral:rRNA from 1 species